ACCUCGAUGUCGGCUCGUCACAUCCUGGGGCUGGAGAAGGUCCCAAGGGUUCGGCUGUUCGCCGAUUAAAGUGGCACGCGAGCUGGGUUCAGAACGUCGUGAGACAGUUCGGUCCCUAUCUGUGAUGGGCGUAGGAAGUUUGAGUGGACCUGACCUUAGUACGAGAGGACCGGGUUGGACCAACCUCUGGUGUAUCUGUUGUGCCGCCAGGUGCAGUGCAGAGUAGCCACGUUGGGACGAGAUAAGCGCUGAAAGCAUCUAAGCGCGAAACUCACCACAAGAUGAGACUUCCAUACAGGGACGUCAGAGACUAUGACGUUGAUAGGCUGCAAGUGUAAAGUCAGAAAUGACAUAGCUGAGCAGUACUAAUUACCCGAUAAUUUUCUUUG
rnacentral:rRNA from 1 species